AAGUUAACAUUCCAUUUUAUUAUUGCAUGUGGGAACGUUACUUUUGAACAAAUAGUAACAUUUGAAAAACUUUAGACGAAUGUCCAACUAAGCGUUUCAGAAAAACAUUCCAUGAACAAUGUAUAAAUAACAUUUUUAUGCUUAAGUUUUGAGAGCAUUAUUAAAGACCAGGGGUCUCAUUUAUAAAACUAUGCGUAGGAUGACAGCCCUAAAUGUCAGUGGAGACCAGGGGUCUCAUUUAUAAAACUAUGCGUAGGAUCUUUACUAAAAGUUUACGUGCGCCCAAAAGCCAAAAUGGCGUACGCCAAAAAUAUUCCGAUUUAUAAAACCGUGCGUACGCACACCUGUAAGCAAUGUUCCCUUUAUAAAUCACAGAUCACCCGCAGAUGUGCGUACGUGAACCAGCCUCAUAUCCCGCCCUGUACACGCCCAUUUUUAACCAUAAAUAGUCAAUGCAAAUCACCUCAUGAUUGCUGAUCAGCAUGUAAAUGAGAGUGGAAUCCCAUAUAUACCUGGAAAACUGGCAUGCGACCCGCCAAUUAAUUAAUCCAAGAAAGUGAAAACGUGCAUUUCUGUUAGCCUAAUUUUAAUAAUGGCGACAGGUGAGAAAAAGAGGAAAAAAACGUAAUUUACUCAGAUACUGAGAUUGAAACACUUGUAGGGGAGGUGGAGGCUCGGAAAACUGUGUUAUUUGGUGGCCACAGCAGUGGGGUCACUAAUAAAAAGAAGCAGUGCGAGUGGCAAAGUAUUGCUUCUGCCGUCAAUUGUGUCAGUGGGACAGAACGGACAGUUGCAGAAUUAAAGAAAAAAUGGUCCGACCUGAAGGUGGAGGCAAAGAGAAAACUGUCCUCCCACCGCCAGAGCGUGGCUGCAACUGGUGGGGGCCCAUGUACAGCUGAUCUCACAUCAGUGGACAGCAAAAUCGCGGCUAUAAUUGGGGAGGUCAGCGUGUGUGGUAUUGUGUCGGAAAAGGAGGGAGACACUGACGUGACUGAAACCACAGAGGAGCAAGUCCUUCCGGAGUCUGAAGCUGUAAAUGAACAGGAGGUUCAGGGUGAGGGGUUCUCAGAUGCAGAUGCACAGCGUCCGGCUCAAAGCAGUGCCCCUUCUGCGUCUGGCACGUCCAAAAGUGGUCGGGUACUCACUGACGCAGUCCUGCAGUUACAGCGAGAGACAAUAAACGCUGUCAACGGGGUUGCAGAUGAGCUACGGCAGAUGAGAGAAGUGAUGCAAGAAAUUGCACAAUCAUUAAAAGAUGCAGUUAAAACAUGAACCUUGAGUUUUGUCUUUCUUUACAAACGCCGCAUGACAUCCUCACGGAUUCUUGCACCUCGUUGAUAUCCCUCUUGUCGGCCAGGGGGCUGUGGCUCGGGGUCGUAAUGCUGGGGUAGAGGGAGAUCAGGAGGGAGAGGAAUACCGUUUCUCAGUGCUAUAUUGUGCAAAACACCACACGCCCUGACAAUCUUGCACACUUUUGCUGGAUGGUAUAAAAGUCUGCCACCCGAGGCAUCCAGAGCACGCCAUCUGCAUUUCAGGAUGCCGAUGGCACGCUCCACAACUGCGCGGGCACGAGAGUGGACCUCGUUAUAAUGAGUUUCCUCUGCGCUCUGCGGGUUUAAAAAUGGGGUGAGGAGCCAGCGUCUCAGGGGGUAGCCACUGUCGCCUGCAGGUUAUAAUUAUAUUAAAAACAAUUGUUACGGUUUCUACUUUUUAAUAUUGUUAAACUCACCAAGAAGCCAGCCAUCACGUACUGCGCCUGCAUUUAGUCUGUUCCCUACACUGCUAUGUGUCAAGAUAAAGGAAUCAUGUGUUGAACCAGGCCAGCGUGCCACAAUGUUUGUGAGGGUCAUGUUGGAGUCACAUAUGAUUUGCACAUUAAUAGAAUGCACAUGCUUUCUAUUAACAUAAGCAAAUUCAUUUUCAGAUGGUGCCCUUAUAGCAACAUGAGUGCAGUCAAUUGCGCCGAUUACAUUUGGGAAACCAGACAUUGCUGCAAAUUGCGUUUUAAUUUCGGCCUGUUCUCGCACAGUGUAGGGGAACCUGAUGUAUCGACUAACCAUAUUAAGUAUACCAUUUAAAACGACAGAUAUUAUGGCACUCAGGGACGGCUGUGAUAUACCAGACCUAUAGGGUGAGAUGAUAGAUUCCAAUAGAAUUAUUUCAUAUACAAAAAGGUCUUAGAGACAAAUUUGAGGAUUACUUAUAGUUUUUUUAUAUUAUUAAUUUACCUGUCUGCCAAUUCCCGCUGGAAACAGCCGGUUGCCAAGAACCCCAGAGUGGUGAGGACUUGUAUUUGGACUGGGAUGGCAUGGUUCCGGCGUGUUGCCCUCUCUAAUACUGGACCCAAUUCAGCACAUAGAUCCAAGAGCACAGCUCUAGGGAAUCUAAAUCGGCUUAUUAGCCAGUCAUCAUCAUGGGCCAGGAAAUCAUCAUGGUCCCUGAAAACUCGUUCUCUCCUUAUUCUGCCAUUAGCGUAAUCCUCCAACAGUGCCAGGAGUGCCAUCAUGAAGCAUUACAUACCCGGGUCACCGGAGAAUUUAUAUGUUUCUAGCAAAUAGACUGAUCGUUAACACCUUGACAAAAUCACUUAAUUAAUUUGUGGGCGAAAAUUUAAGACGAAAAUGUUAUAGUGAACACAUGCUUCUUGACGGUUUUGUAAUGAACACCGUAAUAGUUAGGACCGAUGAUGAGUAGCGAUUGUGCUUCAUGACUGUAUUUGCAGACUUUGACAUUUUAUGAUAUAGGCUAUGUACAUUAAGGAAAAUAUUUCCUUUUUACACUGUGUUCUGCAGUCUACUAAUAAAAGGGUAUUUCAUGCUAUUCUGUAGGCUAUCACAUGUAUCGCGCCAUGUCCUCCUGUGCUCCCGUUGUGGACAAUGUGACUGUAAGGCAGCGCUGAUUAUUAUUUUAUUUUACUUUUAAUACAUUUUGAAUUACGUUUGGAUUUUACUAGAUGUAUAUAGCCUAAAACAAUCGGCACAAAUAACACUGUUGGAUUUAAUCUUCAUGAUAAUGUGGAUAUAACGUAUGAAAUGGAGUGAAAAUUAAAUGUCAUUCAUUCUUAUAAUCGUUCUUCUCACAUUUAUUUUCUACAAUCUAACUUCAGUUCACGACCUCACCAUCGGUGUCGCCAAUUCCCUUUGUCUCCAGAAUGUGCGUACGCACGGCUCAAAGUUUGCUUAAAGGUGCGCACAUUCUCCCGUCAAGUUUGUUUUUUAUAGAUCACAACCUUUGCGUGGGAACUGGCGUACGUACGUUUCCAGCCCCGUUUUGUGCGUACGCACGCUUUAUAAAUGAGGCCCCAGGACUAAACUACUUGACAAUUAAUGGCAUCGACUGCCUGGCAAUCAAAAUAAAUGGAAGUUCA
rnacentral:lncRNA from 1 species